GGUUUUUUAGGGUUUUUUUAGGGCUGAUUUUGGGGGGUUUUUAGGGCUGAUUUUAGGGGUUUUUUGGGCUGAUUUUGGGGAUUUUGGGGGUUUUUUGGGCUAAUUUUGGGGUUUUUAGGGCUGAUUUUGGGGCUGUUUUGGGGAUAUUUUUGGGGCUGUUUUGGGGGUUUUUAGGGCUGAUUUGGGGGAUUUUUUAGGGGUUUGUAGGGCUGAUUUUGGGGUUUCUUAGCGUUUUUUUAGGGCUGAUUUUGGGGAUUUUUUUGGGUUUUUUUUAGGGCUGAUUUUGGAGGUUUUGGGGGAUUUUUUGGUGAUUUUUUGGGGGCUUUUUUGUGUUGUUUUAGGGCUGAUUUUGGGACAGGGUUUGGGAUUUUUUAGGGCUAAUUUUGGUAUUUUGGGGGCUUUUUCCUCCCUGAAGUUUAGGAUCAGGAUCAGGGUUAGGAUCAAGAUUAGGAUCAGAUUUAGGUUUAGGUUUAGGAUCAGGUUUAGGACCUGAUUUAGGACCAGGAUCAGGUUCAGGAUCAGAUUUAGGAUUAUUUUUAGUCUCAGAUUUAAUAUUUUAUUUCCCUUUCAGAGAUCGCGGAGCUGCUGCUGGCGCGGGGUCAGGGCUGGGAUCGGGACCCGAUUCAGGACCAGGAUCAGAUUUAGGACCAGGAUCAGAUUUAGGAUCAGGAUUAUUUUUAGGAUCAAUUUAAUAUUUAAUUUCCCUUUCCAGAGAUCGCGGAGCUGCUGCUGGCGCGGGGUCAGGGCUGGGAUCGGGACCCGAUUCAGGACCAGGAUCAGAUUCAGGACCAGGAUCAGAUUUAGGAUCAGGAUCAUUUUUAAUCUCAGAUUUAAUAUUUUAUUCCCAUUUCCAGAGAUCGCGGAGCUGCUGCUGGCGCGGGGUCAGGGCUGGGAUCGGGAUCAGAUUCAGGACCAGGAUCAGAUUUAGGAUCAGGAUUAUUUUUAGGAUCAAUUUAAUAUUUAAUUUCCCAUUCCCAGAGAUCGCGGAGCUGCUGCUGGCGCGCGGCGCGGCGCGGGACGACGCGGGCGGGCCGGGCUGCG
rnacentral:lncRNA from 1 species